rnacentral:rRNA from 1 species
UACGGGGGGAGCAAGCGUUGUUCGGAUUUACUGGGCGUAAAGGGCGCGUAGGCGGCCACCGCAAGUCGACUGUGAAAUCUCCGGGCUUAACCCGGAAAGGUCAGCCGAUACUGCGGGGCUAGAGUGCAGAAGGGGCAACUGGAAUUCUCGGUGUAGCGGUGAAAUGCGUAGAUAUCGAGAGGAACACCUGCGGCGGAGGCGGGUUGCUGGGCUGACACUGACGCUGAUGUGCGAAAGCUAGGGGAGCGAACGGG